rnacentral:lncRNA from 1 species
GGGAUAGUAUGGGUGCGAUGAUUCGAGACUAUGAAGGUAUUGUUGUAGCUACGACCACUUGGGUGGUAUUGUUGUAGCUCGAUCCAAUCUUUACUAGGCGAUGACCAUGCUCAAGGCAACACAAUUUGCAAAAGAUUGAUGUUUCACCUCUAUUGGAUUUGAAUCAGAUUGCCUGAAAUUGAUUAGGGUUCUAAAAAUUAAAUCUCAAUUCAUAAGAUAUGCUAGG